GAGAAACAUUCUUUCAGAAGAUACAAUAGCCUAGACGAGAGGGCAAAAUGCUUCUCUUAGUUUCACUCGAUGCUCGUUGUGGUGUGACAUACUUCUAAUGACCUUUGGGGAGUCAAGUACCUCAUGACCAGAGGAAACAAUGGACCAGUAAUAGCUUGCCAUCUUGGUACAGCAAAUUAGAGCAUUGACGGAGGUUGUUCACAAUCUCCAACAGACUGUGGAGCAGCAGCAACAGC
rnacentral:lncRNA from 1 species